AUUUAAAAAUAUUUCUAUCUUCUUUCAUUUGAAACUAGUAUGUUGGUUUAUCCUCUCCAUGGAGCUUCGUGCCAAUAUGGAAAAUUAAAGCAAGACGGAAAUGCUUUGCAGUAUGAAGUUUAUCUGAAAAAUGUUUCAUAACUGCAUUUGGAAAGAAAAUGGAUUGAGGAGGCAAAUAUCUUUGUGUUACUUACAGCCUCAAACAGCAGGGGAUCUCCAUAUAAUAUGAUACCUGAAGGCCAUGAAACUUCCUUCUGAACAUCUGAAAAAUAUCAAGAAUUUAAAAAAAUGAAGUGUGUGCUUAAGUCUGUUGCGUACAGUUCCAUCCAUGCUCCUACAUUACAGAGGCAGAUUUAUAAGUCUCUAGAAUUCCUACUUAUAUGGAGAGGAAGGGAAGAGGAAGGAGAACACUGUGCAGUAAAGAUCACAUGCAACCUAUUACAUUUGCUAAAGAAUGAUCCAGAUGAAAUGUCUCAUUUUGAAUUCUCUUCCGUGGAAGGCUGCAGGUGCAUGUUCAUAAUUUGACAGUGCUGCACUGUGGAUUAGCUAGUGGAGGCUGUUGUAUGGUGAGCACUGCAGUCAUCUCAUUGACUUCCUUGAAGUCCA
rnacentral:lncRNA from 1 species